AUGGCAGAAAGGAACGAUACACUCACAACACCUUUCUCUGAAGAGGAGCUGAGAGCUGCAGUGUUCCAAAUGGAACAUGACAAAGCUCCAGGCUCGGAUAGCUUCCCCGCAGAAUUCUAUCAGAAUUCAUGGAAUGUCAUCAAGACUGCCCUAUUGGAGUUGUUCAAUUAUCUUCAUGUCAGCCAACUUGACCUAUCCAGGCUUAAUCUUGGUGAGAUUGUUUUGUUGCCGAAAAUUAAGGAGGAUGAGCGGAGGCUAGGGAGCUCUCAUUCCCAUCUACUUUCUGAUAGAACAACCCUCUGUAGUAUCUAUCAUUCAUCCCAUUGUAAUCCCUCGCACGAGGUAUACCCACCAUCAAUAACAACAACAAGCAAGACGCAGGGUAUUACUCCUCAAUGGAUGCCUGAACUUGGGUAA
rnacentral:rRNA from 1 species